UUACUUCACAUACAUUUUGUGACAUUGUUGUUUGGUGGGGUGCUGUGAGAUUUUCCUUAUGUAAAUGGGUGCCUUGUCUAAGUAAGGGUUAGGAAAUACCGUUUCACUGAAUAAUCAUCCCGGGGAAUAAACAACUAAAUCAAGCUCGCUCAUCGUUUUCAGUACACAAUAACAACCACUCGUCAUUAGCACAAAUGCUAAUGCUAACGCAAAACGACAGGUGUCCUGGCUGGUCCAGCAUCACCGUUACAGAUCACGUCCUUAUCAAGUUUUAUCGAUAACAGGGCGACGUCUUAUCGACAAUGAUCAUAAUGAACAUUUGAUCGAGUACGAAAUUUAAAAAUUAUAUUAAAAAAAAAAAAACCCAAACAACUAAGACUCCGGCAACGUGCGUCUCGGAUGGCAGCUAAAGUUCAUUGAAAGCAACGCGAGCGUUUGGGAAGCGUGGAGCGACUCGAAAUCGACUUGAGCGAGACGCAAAUGAAGACUGUCGCAUUUGAAGAAUCUCAGAUCCAGCACCAGGUUGCGUUCGAACUGAGGCUGAUUUGACUUUGGCCCUCGGUCCUGGACCCAGCUUCAGAGGCGACUCGAAGUGGCCUCGUUGGUCUACCUGUGUACUUUUCGACUCAAAACUUCCUUGAGAGCAGCUCCAGCUCACGAGCGGACGGAGGUAGAAGCACGCAGGUGGAUUACAGACGAUGUCAUCUGAAGGAGGUUACCGACUGUAAGGUAGUGGUAGGGGAGAGUGUGGCGAGACAGCAAAGAAGGUGAUUCUGGUGGUGGGGAGGAAGAUUAAGAAGACAAAGGCGGAGCAGAGAACCAUGUGGUGGAAGCUGAGAAAGGACCAGUGUUGUGCUACUUUUUCGGGAAGAGCUGAGACAGGAGGAGCUUCCGGAAGACUGGACCACUACAGCCGAGGGUGUCCAGGCUCUCCCUUAGAGAUAGGGCGAGAAGCUCGGUCGUCCGGGAGGAUGUCAGAGGUCCUCCGCAUCGAGAGGAGCCAAAUGAGGUGGCCGGGGCAUCUGAUUGGGAUGCCUCCCCGGUGAGGUGUUCCGGGCACGUCCCGCCAGGAGGAGACCCCGGGGACGACCCGGGACACGCCGGAGAGACUACGUCUUUCGGCUGGCCCGGGAACGCCUCGGGAUCCCCGCGGAAGAGCUGAAAGAAGUGGCUGGGCGUCCCUGCUAAAGCUGCUAAAGCUACUGCCCCCGCGACCCGACCUCGCAUAAGCGCUAGAAAAUGGAUGGAUGGAUAACAGUAAACUACACGAGGUGUCAUUAAACAGUUUAAAGCACACUCAAGGAGGGCAGAGACUUUUUGUCUGUGUGUGUCAUGCACACACACACACACACACACAAACAAACACACAGUCUGUGUGUCACUUAUAUCGGUACUAAAAAUACCCCAAACAGUUACAUUGUUUAAUAUAAAACAUAAAACAAAAGAUCUUUGUACCUUUGGAUUAUUUUGUCACUUUGAGAGAAGAGAACAAGAAAGCAACCGAUUUUGAUCACCCGAUAUCGAUCAGCUGACAAUCACGUGAUCUGAUCGGGA